UAAGAGUUGAUUCGUCCUCUUAUUUGAAGUUUGAGGACAUAAAAAAGGCGAAUUCAAUCAUAAAUACUUGAUUGAAUCGGCGAAGC
rnacentral:sRNA from 12 species